CAGUAGCCGCGGUAAUACGAAGGGUGCAAGCGUUACUCGGAAUUACUGGGCGUAAAGCGUGUGUAGGUGGUUGUUUAAGUCUGUCGUGAAAGCCCUGGGCUCAACCUGGGAAUUGCGAUGGAUACUGGGCGACUAGAGUGCGGUAGAGGAUAGUGGAAUUUCCGGUGUAGCAGUGAAAUGCGUAGAGAUCGGAAGGAACAUCUGUGGCGAAGGCGGCCAUCUGGGACAACACUGACGCUGAGGCACGAAAGCGUGGGGAGCAAACAGGAUUAGAUACCCCCGUAGUCCCUGUCUCUUAUAC
rnacentral:rRNA from 1 species